UGCAACUUCAAGUCACUUGAUCACGAGCUGAACUGGCGCCACGAUGCAUGGAGGAGGUCGACGAUGACGGCGAGCUUGGGCGCGGUGUCACGACCAGGCCAGCGGCGAGACCGCGCGGAGUAUAUAGCAGGGACGAGGUCGAUCACGAUGGGGCCAGGUGAUCCCAGAUCAAGCUCUGUGUUUUCUGGCUUCGCCCCUGUCCUGCUUGCUGAUCAAUCGAUGACAACGACGGGCGUCCAGGAUAGAAGAUUCGUGUUUGAGAUUCGGAUUGGAACACCAAUUUGAAGCAUUUGGACGUUUUGAGGUUUUUAUUUAUUUAUUUAUUGCAAAAAAGUGUACUAAGCCUCCGACAUGUUUUCCUGGACGUUGGGAGUAUUAUGUUAAUUCAAAGUUGAUGUUUUUAUUC